UUUCAUUUCUUCUCUUGGUUUCUAUGUUUACUUGUGGCCCAGGAGGAUAUCAGUCACCUCGUCUACCAUCUCCAACCUCUAAACUGAUGUGGCUGUCAUAACUCAUACAAGUUACAGAAGACCCCAUUCAUACAUAGACAAGACAAUUGUACUGCAUAAACAAGGCAAUUGUGCUACAUACGCAAGAGUGUGUAGCGCUCAUGUCCUGUAGAACAAAUUCACGAGGAAAAUGCUGCGAGAUCUCACAACAGUGUUAGUCGGUGGGUCGCGAGGCUUGCCACCUACUCUCGCUUUCCUCUUCAAGCUGGCCUGGGCAUCAAGAGUGCGUCUGCCCCUCUUAAUUGCCAUCGGAUUCAUGGUCACCAAUAUCCACUUGCGACUAGAGAUCAAUGUCAACAUAGAGGUUGGUGAGGAGGAGGGUCAGCCAGACCAGCAGGUACAACAGGGAGAACAGCAAGCAUAGAUGAUGUGGUUGUGGAGGUUGAGUCCUGGCUCCUGGCCCUGUCUCUCAUCUGUACAUAGUGAACCUUUACCAAGAGAUGAGCAUGGGGUGUACCAUGGGUCAAUUCCCAGCAUGGGUGGAAAUGUUGGACAUAUUUCCCUUACUCCUGUUGCUCCUGUUCAUAUAACAGUAAGUAGGUACCCAGGUGUUAAUUGACUGUUGUGGGUGGUGAUCCAUGGGUGUUAGUAUACCAUAGGUAAGAGUUUUACAGGGAGUUUAGAUACGACUCUCUGACCGUGAGUUCAAGCCCCACCUGUGGUAUGGUUUGAGUUUAGAUAGUUUUACAGGAUGCUUAGACUGGGCUUUGAUAUGAGUUAUGGUUAGGUUAACAGCUCUCAGCCUGUAAAUUCAAGUGUAUAAAAAAAAAUAACUAGCCACUUUGGCAGAUUAACUUAAAAAAAAAUCAAUAUACAGUGGACCCCCGGUUAACGAUAUUUUUUCACUCCAGAAGUAUGUUCAGGUGCCAGUACUGACCGAAUUUGUUCCCAUAAGAAAUAUUGUGAAGUAGAUUAGUCCAUUUCAGACCCCCAAACAUACACGUACAAACGCACUUACAUAAAUACACUUACAUAAUUGGUCGCAUUCGGAGGUAAUCGUUAUGCAGGGGUCCACUGUAUAAAUUUAAUAUGUUAAGAGAUACAUUUUUUACUGUCAUUAUUUACUAAAUACUAAGUUGUAUAGAAAAUUUCUAAAUUUACACAAAUUAAAAAAUUGACUUUUUUUUUCAUGGCACGUAAUAAAGGACACAAUUUUGGUCUGAAGUCCUCUGUGUUUUGGUCCAUACUCUGGGGCCUUAAGAUAGGAUUUUAUUGGGAUUUUUAACCCCAGAGGGUUAUCCAGCCAGGAUAACCUGAGAAAGUCAUUGUGUCAUUGAGGGACUCUUAUUUCCACUUGGGUCCUUAAAUCUUGUCCCCUAGGAUGUGACCCACACCAGUCGGCUAACACCCAGGUACCUACUUGCUUGUUAGGUGAGCAGGACAACAGGUGUAAGAAAACACAGUGUUUCCACCUUUGCUGGGGAUCGAACCAUGGACUCUGUGUGAGGUGAACGUUGCCUACCAGGCCACGGGCCACCAAUACCAAUACCUUAUGAAACACUGGUUCCUUCAUAUGGGUAUGUAAUGGUGGGAGGUAUAUACACACACUGGUAAGAAGGUACAAAGGCAGUUAUAUGAAAUCUUUGUCGAUGAUUCACCCAUUCAGGGGCUCCACUGUAUGGGUGAAAUGUUGUCAAUAAAGAUUCCAUAUACAAGCAGGCUCCACUUAUACAGCAGGUUAGGUUCCGGGCUACCGCUGUAAAGUGAAAAUCCCUGUAAAGUGAAUCAGUCCUUUAUCACUUUCAUAUGCAUAUAAAAGCCUGAUUAUAUGUUUACACUGUCAUAUAUUAAGUGAGCUGAGCCUAAAAAAUGCUUAUACAGUAUGCACCUUACAGCCUCUCCUCACUUUACUGACAACUCGGACUUACAAUGGGCUCUCUGACCAGUAUACAUACUUAAAUAAUGUAUAUUAGUGCUGAUUGUCUCUAUUCUGUUUAUUACAGUAUACAGUACACUACUGCAUGAACAUUUAAAAAUAUACUAAAAAUUUUAUAAAUCGUGCAAAGGUGACAUUAAAACAAUAACAAAGAUGGUUGACACAAACCCACUACCAUUAUAGUAUGUUCCUUGCUUAGUGACGAAUUCGUUUACCAACGUGGUCUUAGGAAUGAAACUCCGUCGUUAAGUGAGGAGAGGUUGUACUUGCCUAAAAAUAUUUUCAUUCUUAGUUUAUAGUGAGUGGUGAAUAUGUUCAUUGUAGAAAGUCUGAAUAAAUGAAGAAUGUGUAUAAUUGAAAACCACUGCAUUAGCAAAACACCAUAAAGCAAAGCGUUGUAAAGUAGGGCCCUCCUGUACAGUGGACCCCCGGUUUACGAUCAGCUCCCAAUGCGACCAAUUAUGUAAGUGUAUUUAUGUAAGUGCGUUUGUACGUGUAUGUUUGGGGGUCUGAAAUGGACUAAUCUAAUUCACAAUAUUCCUUUUGGGAACAAAUUCGUUCAGUAAUGGCACCUGAACAUUCUUCUGGAAUGAAAUAAUAUCGUAAGCCGGGGGUCCACUGUAUUUGCUUCUUGUCUCCUUACCAUCCCUCAUGUGUUAUUGUGAGUAAGUCCAUUAUCUUAGAAUUAUUCUGACGAAUCGUGUGGUAUGCUAUAUCACCGAGUUGAUGGAUAGGACACACAAGUAUCACUUCUGUCAAGGCUGAGGGACUGAACACCUCAAAAUUACCUCUCCACUUUCUCUUCUGUCUCUAGUAAUAAAGUCACCUCUGUCUGUAUUUGACUGAAGAAGACUGCUGUGAAGGCUUAAUAUUUCAACUUUUUCUGUAAAAUUGGUUAACUGGUUAUGCUCCGACAAACCCAUUGUAAGUUGAAAAUAUCUUAGGUCAAAUAUGAAUGGUAUGCUAAAUAAAUAAAUAAAUAACUACCAUCACUUAAUAGGUAAACAAAUAAUUCUUUCUUUCAACACACCGGCCGUAUCCCACCAAGGCGGGGUGGCCCAAAAAGAAAAACGAAAGUUUCUCUUUUAAAUUUAGUAAUUUAUACAGGAGAAGGGGUUACUAGCCCCUUGCUCCCGGCAUUUUAGUCGCCUCUUACAACAUGCAUGGCUUACGGAGGAAGAAUUCUGUUCCACUUCCCCAUGGAGAAAACAAAUAAUUACUGUAAUUAAAUACUAGUAGUGAAAAUUAAAAAAUGAAUACAAGUUACAGACUUGCUGCCUUCAUGCUGGGCAUUUAUCUUAUCGACUUUACGAUGAUGCAUCAUCGUAAAGUUGACAUAUUGUAAUUCAAACCAUCAUAAGUUGAAGAGCACCUGUAUAGCAGAUUGUCAGUUAUCCAGGCCCCCCUGGGUAUGGGAAUAGGGAGGAUGUGCUGGGUUUUAAUUACCUGAUUAGCCGGGCUGUGGUUCAUACAUUGGAUUAUGCGAGGACAGCAGUAACAGCCUUGUUGAUCAGGCCUUGAUCCACCAUGAGACUUGGUCAAGGACUGGUCUGCAGGGGGCAUUGUCCCCUGGAAUGCCCUCCAGGUAUACUUCAAGUUAUCACAUCACCCUUUUCAUAGUCCCUUUUUUAAUCACAUAUUCAUUUUUAGCAUUAGAUUUCAGGGAGGGAUUUAUGAAGUGCUUGGGGGUUAUGACCCCCCCCCCUUCCCCUGGGCCACUGAUUAUUAUAAUCAAGGGGGAAGCGCUAAACCCGGAGGAUUAUACAGCGCCUGGGGGGGAUGUGGAAGGCAUUCAGGCUUAAUUCGGGGAGCUGGAGCACAGAUCCAAUUCCCUAAAUCAAGAGCCCCUCACCAACAUCAAGGAACCUUCCUUGAGGGGCCUGGGCCACUGAAAGGUUUUAUAUUCCUCAUUAAAUUUUUAUUACUGAUUGUUAUUACUCAUUAAAUUAUUAUAUGCAUAAAAAUUUCCUUGAUAUUUAAAACUGUGAAUUUGUGAGAAUAUUGCUUCUGCUUCCUCCCUGGAUAAUUCUUGGAUCCAUUAGUUAUCCAUUGAAGUGGCAGAUCGAACAUCAUGGCUGGAUAAUGUUAAACCUCCAAACAGCUGGAUUCCCGGAUAAUUGAUGACCCGCAGUAUAAAUUCUGAGGUGUCCUGUAAUUAGGUUGGUAGUGCACUCGACUCACUCACUGAGGUCCGUGGUUUGAUUCCUGGUACAAGUGGAAACAUUAGGACAUGUUUCCUUAAGACACCUGCUCUCCAUGUUCACUCAUCAGUGAACUUGGGUAUUAGUCGAGUGGCAUGGGUGGCAUCCUGGGAGACCAAAUUAACCUGAUUUGCCCGAAAUGCUCUGCAUAACCUGGGACUUUCUAUAUAGUAUGUCAUUGAUGUCUGCUAUGGUCUGUAUAAGUUGUAUCAUGUACUUAAAGAAAUAAAUUAGUCAAACCUCAGUUAUCGUAUGCCCUAGUUUUCGUGCGAUUCAGUUUUUGACGACUUUUUUCGUAGAAAUUUUGUCCCAGUUUUCAUACAUCCACUUGGUUUUUUGUACAGUUGAAAAUGGUCUGUACCAAACUCAUCUGCCUGCCCGCAUGACUCUGCCACUCAUUUCCUGGAAUUGAGCGCCCACACAAAGCAUCUCAUGCUUUCGUGACUCGGUCUGCCUUUGUUUCUUGUUGAGUGAGCAUCGCUCUGCGCAUCCAUCCAAAACAUUUCGUAAUAAUCCAUUGUUUUUUGUGCUUGUUUAUUGAGUGCAACUGCAAAAUAGGCACUUAAAACUAAGUGCUAAACCCACAAGGGUCAUAAAGCUCAAUAUAGAAAUAAAGAUUAUUAGUUAAAUAAGCAUGGUAAAAAUUAAAAUAACUUACACCUUCACUACAGUGUCAAUAAUAGCCAUACAAAGGAAAUUAUUAAAUGUAUAUUUUUUCAAACUUUUUCUUCUAAUAUUGCAUAUUAUACAGAACUUUAAUUACAAUAUCUUAAGUUUUACACAAAAAUUCAGACUGUCUUGAACUUUAUUUCUUAAAAAUAAUACUCUGGGAAAGCAUCAUUUUAUUUAGUAAUGUAAGUCAUUAAAAAAAUAUUGUAAUUGAUUUGUUUUCUGUUCCGCCAUAAAACAUAAACAUAGCAUCCUCGUUUAAGUUUCCUCUUUGUUUUUCGUUUAACACUUCAGUAAAUUGUAACUAUUAUAAAACAAGAUUUAAACCUGUGUGUGUGUGUGUGUGUGUGUGUGUUUUAUAUAUUAUAUAUAUAAUUAUAUACACACACACACUCGCAUACAUAUAUACAUACAUACAUUAAAACCCUCAGUAUAAGAGAAAUUUAUUGACAAAAUCCACAGAAUAAAUUUUACUUAGUUCCUUUAUUUUCAGUGUUUAUCACAGUAUCUGUAAAUUAUGUAUAUACUACUAUGUUAGAUGUACACUAUUGUGUUCACUGUACACUAGAGUACUUUACGACACUUUUCUUUUUCUCUUUUGCUAUUUUUAAUGUUAUUUUGAUUUAACGAACACUCAGAGAAUCUUGUUUAUUAGUCCAUUAUACAGAGGGUUUACUGUAUAUACAGUUAUAUUACAUUAGUACAGUAUUAUCACAUUGACAGCAUUAUCAAUCGUUAAUGGGAAUACCAUACAUGUUUACAUUAUUUAGUUCCACUGCCAUAUACAUUGAAAAUUUGUAUGUUACAAUUUGACUGGCAAAUGUUGCUGAAAGUUAUAGUUAAAGAAAGAGAGAGAGAAAGUUUGCAGUGAAAGUCUCGAUUCUGAUGACUUUUUUUUUCUCGGUGCUGAGUUUUAUUCUCUGGUACGACUUAGUUAUGUCAAAAACUUGAUCAUGAUCAGUAAAGAUUUUAAGUUUCUACUGGUAAAUAUAAAUGGUUGAGUUACCCUUAAAUUUAUUUGUGUUCAUUAGAAUAGACUUUUUCUGCAAACUAUCUAUCAUUAGUUUGAAAAAACUGGGGCAGCAGGAUGCUGGGUCUUUAGAAAAUAUCUGAUAAGAUUAAUGAAAAUGGGCAACUCCUAAAAAUUUGCCACAACAGUACAAGGACAUAAACAUCGGCAAAAUUGACCGUAUGUUAUUAUAUUUGUGGGAAGUGCUAAAUCUGCAUGAGUUGUCAGUGCAUGAGGUAUGGGAGGCAGUCAAGUUUGAUCCACAAAAGGGGAGAAUAGCUCCAUUUUCCUGGAUCAAGUUACAUUCAUCAACAUUGUCACCCCUUUUGAAGGGAAAUGAGCAUGCAGCUUAUCCAGUUAUAUACAGUGGACCCCCGCAUAACGAUCACCUCCGAAUGCGACCAAUUAUGUAAGUGUAUUUAUGUAAGUGUGUUUGUACGUGUAUGUUUGGGGGUCUGAACUGGACUAAUCUACUUCACAAUAUUCCUUAUGGGAACAAAUUUGGUCAGUACUGGCACCUGAACAUACUUCUGGAUUGAAAAAAUAUCGUUAACCGGGGGUCCACUGUAUCAUAUAUACUCGAGUAUAGCUCAAUGGUGAGUACAAGUCUACCCCGGACCUUUUUGCCAAAUAUUUUUCUCAUGUACGUAUCUAGUUUUUAAGGAACUUUAAAAGGGGCUAAAUGGUUCUGAUGCCAGAUAUAUUCUAGCAUAAA